ACGGGAGGCAGCAGUGAGGAAUAUUGGUCAAUGGACGAGAGUCUGAACCAGCCAAGUCGCGUGAAGGAUGAAGGUUCUAUGGAUUGUAAACUUCUUUUAUUCGAGGGUAAAGUGAGAGUUGCGACUCUUAUUGCAAGUAUCGAAUGAAUAAGCAUCGGCUAACUCCGUGCCAGCAGCCGCGGUAAUACGGAGGAUGCGAGCGUUAUCCGGAUUUAUUGGGUUUAAAGGGUGCGUAGGCGGAUUGUUAAGUCAGUGGUUAAAUCGUGUAGCUCAACUAUACUAAGCCGUUGAUACUGGCGAUCUAGAGUGUAAACGAGGUAGGCGGAAUGUGAUGUGUAGCGGUGAAAUGCAUAGAUAUGUCACAGAACCCCGAUUGCGAAGGCAGCUUACCGGCAUACGACUGACGCUGAGGCACGAAAGCGUGGGUAUCAAACAGGAUUAGAUACCCUGGUA
rnacentral:rRNA from 1 species